GACAGAGGGUGCAAGCGUUGUUCGGAAUCAUUGGGCGUAAAGCGCACGUAGGCGGUCUUGUAAGUCGGAUGUGAAAUCCGGGCUUAACCCAGGAAGUGCAUCCGAUACUGCAUGACUUGAGUCUCGGAGAGGGUGGUGGAAUUCCUGGUGUAGAGGUGAAAUUCGUAGAUAUCAGGAGGAACACCGGUGGCGAAGGCGACCACCUGGACGAAGACUGACGCUGAGGUGCGAAAGCGUGGGGAGCAAACAGG
rnacentral:rRNA from 1 species